rnacentral:pre_miRNA from 1 species
UACGUACUCCCUUCGUCUGAAAAUACUUGUCAUCAAAAUGAAUAAAAAGGGAUGUAUCUAGAUGUAUAUUAGUUCUAGAUACAUCUUUUUUUAUCCAUUUUGAUGACAAGUAUUUUUGGACGGAGGGAGUACGGG